UCCUUCCCUAUAAAUAUCAAUAUACACUCUAUCAUUAGCAAUAAUACAACCAGUUAUAGAGCAAGAAACAUAAUAUACGGCAACCAAAUCUUUAUAUAUACUAGUUAGAAUAAAAGAUACAACAAAAGUAUAAGUAGAAAAAAAGACUUCUAGUACCAUGUGAUAACAAUAUGGUAUAUAUGUAUCCCAACAAAGCAUAUAAUUUCUCUAGAAUAUUACUACAACUAUCUGCGACUAUACUACUCUACCAAAAUAGUAAGGGAUAUAAUAAAAGUAUGAGAAAAUUACAUGCUCGUAUUGCAAACUAAAUAUUCGCAAAACAACUUGCUCAUUUUGUAUACUAAAAGGGUAUAUAGUUGCAUACAACCGUUCCAACAAUUACCUGUAACUAUAAAAACAAUUAAUACGCAUAAUUUAUGUCAAUCGGCACACAAUAAUUGCAUAAUUAUUGCAACUCAUGUUUAUAUAAAUAAUUUCCUAAUAGAAUUCACUUAAAAUGCAUCUAAAACAACCAAAAUAAUAUUCGAACUACCAUAUGAUAUUAACAACAAAAACAACAACAACCUAGUAUAAUCCCACUUAGUGGGGUCUGGAAAGGGUAGUAUUUACGCAGACCUUACCCCUACCCUUGGGUAGAGAGGCUGUUUCCAAAAUAGACCCACGACAUCCUUCCCUCCAAGAACUUCCCACCUUGCUCUUAGGGAGACUCGAACUCACAACCUCUCGGUUGGAAGUGGGGGUUGCUUACCAUAUGAUAUCGAUAUGACAUAUAAUUAUACCAACAUGGUAUUUAAUUUUACUAGUUAAUUUCCGGCAACUAUAUGACUAUACUACUAUUACAUAACACGCAUGCAUAAAGAAAAAAAUAAAAAAAAUAGUGUUAUAUUAAUAUAAUAAGGUAUUCCAAGAUAUUGUACUAUAUUGCUAUUAUUAAAAGAAAAUCAAAUAUUGUAUCGAUUAAAUGCAGCUAAUACAAUCAAAAAAUAAUUCAACUAGCAAAUGAUACCAAUAUAGUAUAUAGCUAUACUAAUAGGGUUAUUGUUGGAAUGAAUUAUAUACUAAGAUGGUAUAUUUGUAUAAUAUUUGGGUAUAUAAUACAAAUUCGUCUUCUUCUCUGGUUCAACUAUAUUUCAACCCAAAUUUCUAAAUUUACUGUAAAAUCUCCACUAAAUUGACUAAAACUUUAUAUAUAACCUUCAAUCAACUGUCCAAACUAUCCCAUACAGGAUCGGAUCAAAACAAUUAAAAACUUAAACAAAUCAAGUUAUGAGUUUCAAGCGUAAAUAUCCGUCAAUGACAGAUUUAAAUUUUUGUACAAUAAAUUUCCGAAAAUCAGCAUCAAAGGUACAUUCUAUACAUCAAAGAAUAAUAACUAAUAACAAAGUUUUGAGAUAGAAAGACAGGACGCGCAAUGUGUAAUCUUAGUUUAUGCCAUAUAUUAUUGUUAAAAGCCUAACUCAUGCUCUUCCUUACUCCCCACUAUAACAGUAUAUCGUUAUAGUAUACUGCUAUAGUAUACUAUAACAGUAUACUAUCGUAGUAUAGUUAUAUACUUCUACAAUAUAUUGUAUAUCAUAGUAGUAUAUUGUUGGAUAACUGUAUUCCUUUUCGAUUUUCAGCAAAAAUUUCAAUCUCGAUCACUUCAAAUCAGUUCAAACUACGAUCAAAUUUCAGUAUGAAUUUUCAAAAGGCACUAUAAGCAAUAUUUAAUAGCAACAAAAUCAUAAUUUAAUUUUUUCGAGAAAUGACUCGAACUAAAUUAGCGACGAGGAACUAUAAAAUUUAUAGGAAGGGAGAGAGCAUUUUGUGGCGAUGAAAGGUAUUUAAUAGGCAAUGAUUUCAUUCAGCAAGAGAAAAUUAAACUACAUGCGUGUAGUGAGUUAAUUGAAUCAUAAUUUUUAGAUAUUGAGCAAGUCUAUUUUUUUUUUGUAUACACAAAAUCAUCACAUAAUUAAACAAAAACUGCUACUCUUUGCUCCCAUUAAUUAUCUAUAUUUUACUUUGUAAAUAUUAUAAAAAUAUAGACUAUCAGAUAAACAAUUUUAUUUAUGAAAAUAGAAAUAAGAACGAAGAGAGAAAAUUCAUGAAGAGAUAAAUAAAAUGUUUCUUACCUUGGAUUGAAGGAAGAAACGUCCCCCAUAGAUUAGGUAUAGAUCUGUUGCCUCUAAAGCUUUCAAAAACUUUCUUAAUAAAUAGACAUGUAAUAUUUUUAUAUGAAGUAGAUAUAUAUAGUAAUUAUUAUCCAAAUGGCUAUAGCCGAGUAACUAGUUUUAUUUUAAUAGGUAGAUUUUAUAAAUUCCUCAAUUUGGAAUUCAGCCGUUGAAUGAAUCAUGGGAUUGAUGAUAGCUUUUUAAGCUGAAAAAAAGUGUGGGUUUUCUUGUAGUAAAUAAAUGGUUGUCGCAUGUAAAACUGAAGUCAUUCAACAAUUAAGACUAAACAAUGCAGAAUUUAUGAUUUGAACGGGUGAAGAGAUAUAGAAAAU
rnacentral:lncRNA from 1 species